rnacentral:lncRNA from 1 species
GAUUACGAUAGAGGCUAUUACGACCAAUUUGUCGCUGCCCCGGCCCAUGAGCUGAUCUCUUCCGAGGACUCUCCCUUUUCAGAGAGGUGAAACGAUAAGGUAAGUAUAUCACUUUCAUCUUGGGUUAAUAUUUAUCAUUCAUUUUUUGAUUUGUAGCUUUUAUAUUGUAGCGAUUCCGGCAGCAGUGAGAGGUUUCUGGCAUUGAGAAAUUGGUUAAGAAGAAUCUAUUAUCCUCCCCAAAAACCGAGAGGUCUUAGAAGUACAUCUUGGAGGUAUCGGGAUAGAGAGCUAAGAACUACAGUAAGCUUUUGUGUCUAUCAACCCUUCCCCUUAAUGUUUCACGUUUUCAUACCUCUUUCUGUUUUUGUAUGAAUUGCUCCGAGGAAGUCCCCGCCUCAAGUGUUAUAAAUUUCCCUAUAUAUUGAUUCUUCCCAAGAUAAGAUCCAACAGUUAUCCACCAUGAUGAGGGAGGAGAGUUCAUUGAAACCUGCAUCGGUGAGUAGUCCUGCGGGCCUUCCAAAGAGGAGGAUGAGAUCUAGCUUCAGGAUAGGUCUGAGGGUGCUCGAGGCAGUCCCCAAAUUAACCUUCAAAGUGUACAUCCUCAAGAUAGCGAACCCAUAAUGACUGAGGAUGAGGAAAUGGAGUCCCAGGGUAUAAAGCCAGCAAUAGUUGAAUCUUCUACUCUGGAUCAAGGGAA